rnacentral:rRNA from 1 species
UACGUAGGUGGCAAGCGUUGUCCGGAUUUACUGGGCGUAAAGAGCGCGCAGGCGGUCGAUUAAGUCGAAUGUGAAAGCCCCCGGCUCAACUGGGGAGGGUCACGCGAUACUGAUCGACUCGAAGGCAGGAGAGGGGUAGUGGAAUUCCCCGGUGUAGUGGUGAAAAUGCGUAGAUAUCGGGGAGGAACACCAGUGGCGAAGGCGACUACCUGGCCUGUUCUUGACGCUGAGGCGCGAAAGCGUGGGGAGCAAACAGG